AAACUCGGCAUAAUGAUCCCGUAACUUCGGAAGAAGGGAUGCCUUGUUUGGUAACCGGACUUGCUCCGGGAGCAGAAUGAGGCCGCAGAGAAUCGGCCCAAGCGACUGUUUAGCAAAAACACAGGUGCGUGCCAAGCCGCAUAAGGCGCCGUAUACGCACUGACGCCUGCCCGGUGCCGGAAGGUUAAGGGGAGAGGUUAGCCGCAAGGCGAAGCUUUGAGCCGAAGCCCCGGUAAACGGCGGCCGUAACGAUAACGGUCCUAAGGUAGCGAAAUUCCUUGUCGGGUAAGUUCCGACCUGCACGAAUGGCGUAACGACUUGGGCACUGUCUCGACCACGUGCUCGGCGAAAUUGCAGUCUCGGUGAGGAUUCCGAGUCCCCGCAGCAGGACAAAAAGACCCCAUGCACCUUUACUGCAGCUUGUCAUUGGACAUUGCACUUCACUGUGUAGCAUAGGUGGGAGCCGGUGAACCCUGGGCGCUAGCCUGGGGGGAGGCAUCAGUGAAAUACCACCCUGUGUAGUGCGAUGCCCUCACCACGGAAGGCAAACCCUUUCUGGGACCGUGGCAGGCGGGCAGUUUGACUGGGGCGGUCGCCUCCGAAAGAGUAACGGAGGCGCGCGCAAGGUUGGCUCAGCGCGGUCGGUACUCGCGCUUCUAGAGUGUAACGGCAAAAGCCAGCCUGACGGAGAGACCGACGGGUCGACCCGCCACGAAAGUGGGCCGUAGUGAUCCGGUAGCCCGGGGUGGAGCGGCUAUCGCGCAACGGAUAAAAGGUACGCUGGGGAUAACAGGCUUAUCGCGCCCGAGAGUUCACAUCGACGGCGCGGUUUGGCACCUCGAUGUCGGCUUAUCACAUCCUGGGGCUGGAGAAGGUCCCAAGGGUCCGGCUGUUCGCCGGUUAAAGUGGUUCAUGAGCUGGGUUCAGAACGUCGUGAGACAGUUCGGUCUGUAUCCGCUGUGGGCGUUGGAGUGUUGAGGGGAGCGGACUCUAGUACGAGAGGACCGAGUCGGACGAUCCGCUCGUGUCCCGGCUGUCCUGCCAAGGGCACCGCCGGGUAGCGAUGAUCGGCUGUGAUAACCGCUGAAUGCAUCUAAGUGGGAAGCACGCCCCAAGAUGAACACUCCCGAGGCUUCGAGCCUCCUGAAGGGCCGGGGAAGACCACCCCGUCGAUAGGCCGCCCGUGGACGUCGAGCGAUCGACUCCGAGCGCAGCGGUCCUAAUCGCCCGUGCGGCUUGACUAC
rnacentral:rRNA from 1 species